rnacentral:rRNA from 1 species
GACGAACGCUGGCGGCGUGCUUAACACAUGCAAGUCGAACGGAAAGGCCUUUUCGGAGGUACUCGAGUGGCGAAGGGGGGCGUAACACGUGGGUGAUCUGCCCUGCACUCUGGGAUAAGCCUGGGAAAGUGGGGCUAAUACCGGAAAGGACCGAAAUGUAGUGCGGGUGGUGGCAAGGGUUUUCGGUGUAGGAUGAGCCCGCGGCGUAUCAGCUUGUUGGUGGGGGGAUGGGCUGCCAAGGCGGCGACGGGUAGCGGGACUGAGGGGUUGGGCGGCGACACUGAGACUGAGGGGAGGCCCAGACGCCGAAGGGAGGCAGCAGGGCGGAAGAUUGAACCAUGGGCGCCAGGCUGGUGAAGCGACGCCGCGUGGGGGAUGACGGCCUUCGGGUUGUAAACUACUUGCGCCAGGGACGACGCGUGUUGUGACGGUACCUGGAGAAGAAGCACCGGCUAACUACGUG